rnacentral:rRNA from 1 species
GGAAUAUUGGACAAUGGGGGGAACCCUGAUCCAGCCAUGCCGCGUGUGUGAAGAAGGCCUUUUGGUUGUAAAGCACUUUAAGCGAGGAGGAGGCUACUCUAGUUAAUACCUAGGGAUAGUGGACGUUACUCGCAGAAUAAGCACCGGCUAACUCUGUGCCAGCAGCCGCGGUAAUACAGAGGGUGCGAGCGUUAAUCGGAUUUACUGGGCGUAAAGCGUGCGUAGGUGGCCAAUUAAGUCAAAUGUGAAAUCCCCGAGCUUAACUUGGGAAUUGCAUUCGAUACUGGUUGGCUAGAGUAUGGGAGAGGAUGGUAGAAUUCCAGGUGUAGCGGUGAAAUGCGUAGAGAUCUGGAGGAAUACCGAUGGCGAAGGCAGCCAUCUGGCCUAAUACUGACACUGAGGUACGAAAGCAUGGGGAGCAAACAGGAUUAGAUACCCGUG